rnacentral:rRNA from 1 species
GACGUAGGGCGCGAGCGUUGUCCGGAUUUAUUGGGCGUAAAGAGCUCGUAGGCGGCUUGUCGCGUCGACUGUGAAAACCCACAGCUCAACUGUGGGCUUGCAGCCGAUACGGGCAGGCUAGAGUUCGGUAGGGGGAGACUGGAAUUCCUGGUGUAGCGGUGAAAUGCGCAGAUAUCAGGAGGAACACCGGUGGCGAAGGCGGGGUCUCUGGGCCGAUACUGACGCUGGAGGGAGCG